rnacentral:rRNA from 1 species
UCAGCAGCCGCGGUAAUACGUAGGGGGCGAGCGUUGUCCGGAAUUACUGGGCGUAAAGGGCGUGUAGGCGGUCAAAUAAGUCAGGUGUUUAAGCUGCCGGCUCAACCGGGAGAGUGCACCUGAAACUGUAUGACUUGAGGGCAGGAGAGGGAAGUGGAAUUCCUAGUGUAGCGGUGAAAUGCGUAGAUAUUAGGAGGAACACCAGUGGCGAAGGCGACUUCCUGGCCUGGCCCUGACGCUGAGGCGCGAAAGCGUGGGGAGCAAACAGGAUUAGAUACCCUGGUAGUCCACGCCGUAAACGAUGGGUACUAGGUGUUGGGGGUAUCGACCCCCUCAGUGCCGCAGCAAACGCAAUAAGUACCUCGCCUGGGGAGUACGGCCGCAAGGUUGAAACUUAAAGGAAUUGGCGGGGGA